GGCCCAUUUGGGCCUUGGACCAGGCCCAAAAUCUCAAAAGCCCAAUGAAAAAAAAAGAGAGAAAAAUUGAAGAAGACUUCCGUAGGGAGUCUUCUUCUUCCUUCGACCAACUCCUAAAUGGGGUCGGAAACCUUGCCAGGGAGGAGUCAAACUCCUCUCUCCGGCUCUAUUUAAGGGAGAGAUCCUUCUCCCUCCUUCCCACCAAAGAAUCU
rnacentral:lncRNA from 1 species